AUUUAGAGUGCCUCUCUGGAAGGGAAAACAUCAAGUUACACUCCAUAAUUUACGGCCUCUCACAGAAGCAAACGGGGUAUACCAGUAGCAGAGGUUCUGACCCUGCAUUCUGGCUGCACCUUUCCCUGCAAGAGAGACCUGCUACAGAGUCUAUGGGCCUGUAUGCAAAGAGCUGGCCUUGUGAGCCCCAAUUGUCUUUUUAAGACAGUGCAGGGAAAGGAAUCAAUACCUACCUGAAGAAAGGAGUGAGGCAGAGGGGACGCUACCUGCCUGGAAGCCCACUAGGACCAGCCCAGCUGGGGGAGAUACUGCCGCUGGCUUGACCCCGGUCUCAGCAACGAUAGCCCUGGUCUCACUAUUUGGAGGCAGAGGGAUCUAUUCCUGCCAAGAAGCAGCCAGGCAGAGGGAUUUGUUCCUGCCUAGAAGCAUACAGGUAUAGGGGACGAUACCUGCCAGGAAAAAGCUGCAGGGCAGAGAAGAUGCUACCUGACUGGAAUCCCACUGAGACCAGCCCAGCUGGGGGAGAUACAGCCGCUGGCUUGACCCCGGUCUCAGCAACUAUAUCUCUGGUCCCAUUAUCCAUCCCUGGGUUUGGACAGAGGAAGGGAGAUCCCUAGCGGAGUACCGCUACAAUAUAUAUAUAUCUUGUGAUGUGAGUCAUCAAGGUCUGAGGGCCUGUUUUGGAACAUUCUUUGGGCAGGAGGUACAUGGGCUUAAAGAUACCCAGAGACUGCAUGGAAAUGUGGAAUUUUAUAUGCUGGACACCCCAUGUACCCUGUAUCCAUAAAUACAGGAUGGGUACAGGGUGUGAGUGCACCUUUUGGGAGCAAUUGUGACUCUAUAAACCAAGUGGGCAUAAAAGACUUUAUAGCUAAUAAGAACUGUUCCUAUAUUCUGUAAUAAGAUGUAUUCUAUGUAUGUUUCAGAUCUGAUUGUGUCUCAGGAGUCUGUCUGGGUAAACUGAUUGUGUCCUUGUGUGAUUAUGUUAUCUAGACUGCCCAACAUCAGAUUGUCUGAGUAAACGUUCUUCCCUAGUUAAUUAACUUAAUAUGUUAAUCUGUUUUACCUGUGAAUAGACAAUUGUUAGAGGUUUGAUGUAUUGUUCAUAUGUUUGCUUUACUGUUUAACCAAUGCCCUCUGUAACCUGAAGCUCUGUGACUCUGGAAUGCCAGGGUGUAUAAAUCUGUGUGCUGCUUUUAAAUAAAGUGUUCAUUUUGUGUUCAGACAA